GCCGUGAGGGGCGCGCGUGGCGCCUCAGCCCGCGGCUGUGCCUGGAAUGGCGGGGGCGCGUCCCGGAGAUCGCCUGGUCACAGCCCCCGCAGCCAGCCCUAGGGACACACCCCGCCGACCGAGUUACCCCGCCGGGCUUGGGGUUGGAGUCGGUUUGGGCUGGAGAAACGAUUUUUGAUUGGUUUCUGCUCGUUCAGCUGCCCUCUGAAUUACCCCGCCUCACAUGCAUCCUGCUGGCUCCUACUGUAGCAGCGGCUCCUUCUGCUGCCCAAGUUAUUUUCGCUAGGGCAGGUAUCCAGGAUGCGAGGAGGAGGUGCAGUGAUUAGCACUUCAGCUUCUCCGGUGUUUGCCAGCUUGUGGCUGUAAACUCAAAGCAGUUCCCUGCCAGAUUUCAUUGUUAAAAUAAAAUACAGGGGUGGCUUGUGAUCAAGCUGCCCUUUCUCCUUCAUGCGCUCCUUAGUGGGUGUAAAAUGGAUUGCGGAUAAGCGUUCGUGUCAGUCGCUGAGAAUCCUUACAGAUAAACCAGGAGCUGUGUGAAUUAACAGUCAUCACUGGCUUGAGUAACUAGGGUGGAAGAUUAGUGAAAAGGAGACUUUUAAUUUAAUUUCAAGGCUAGAUUUUUUUAUCUGAAGAAUGGUGAAGGCGCACCUCCACCAGUGAAGUGAUGCUUUCCUCUGUCUCAUUAAAGAGGAGCUGGAAUCACUCUUCUGUUGCUGGGUUGCAUUUAUGACUGCAGGGGUCAGCAUCUGCUGUGAGCAGCGCUUGUGAGACAAACCAACCGUGUAACAAGUCCUUUGCUAACAUUUCUUAUCAGAGAGCACAGAUACCUAACCUUGGUCUCAAGGCUUAAGCAUUGAAAUAAAUGCUAUCAUAAAGUCUUCUUUAAGGACUUCUAAGAGAGCAAAAAAAAAAUUCCCUUAAAAUAGGGAAUGCAGGCCUUCCUUCAACUUUAUUGCAUGACCAAAAUGUAAGGAUUUUGGACAUACUUCAUCAAGUGCAGAAGUCUGAUUAGCAACAAAAGUAAAAAGGAGCUGAGUAGGAAGGAUGAUAAAAAGCAAAAGGCAGCAUAAAGUUACAUUUUACAAAUUGUAAUACAUAGUCAUUAGUUGCUCUGCAGCUUUGCUUGCAUCUUGGCCACACGCUUCAUGACGCUGGUAGUUUUAUUUGCCAUAGGUAUAUUUCUUUUAUUUGCCAUAGGUAUAUUUCUUUCUUAUUGCUGCUUUUCACAGACGCAGGGCAGCUUUCUCAUGUGUAUCUGGUAGUGCCAGUCUAGACAACAGAAGUUGAAUCUUGGAAAAAUUGCUGGUGUGUCCUUAGUAGACAAUGAAUUGUGAGCAUGUAAUGAUCCAUCAGUCCUGGCUUCUGUUUGACUACUAGGACUUUAAAAAAAAAAGCUAAUAUAUCAAACAUAUCUGCUUUGAUUAUUAACCUUCUAUUCUAAAUAAUCAAACAAGUGGUGCCUUGCCUUCCCCAGCAUCUGCUCAAGACGUGGCUGUGACAGAGUGUGUGUUUCAGUGGCCAGCAGUCCUGGCUUGGGUGUGUCAGCAACGUGAGAGACUCAGUGCAAUUGUUGCCAACUCCUCAUGGCAAGAGCAAUUUGUUUUUUAAAAUUGGACUUUGUAGUUGUACAGUCACGAAACUUCAGUGGGGUGUUUUCGUGCCUAACACCACUGUUUUGACACACGUUUUGUUUUUCUAUUUAUCAUGACUGCCCUGUGAAAGAGGAGCCUGUUCCAGGUGCUGUUAUAGAUUGUUUCCUUCCAUAUUCUUCAUUCUGGAUGGUAAUGCUAGAAAACUUAGGGAAGGAGUGAUUCACCCAAACCAAAGUUGAAUCAAAUCCAGGUUAUUUUUUGCGGUGGGUUUAUUGUGUAUUUUUUGUUAAUUUACUUUAUUAAGGGAAAGUACGUGAUCAUAGAGACUUGGCUGCUUCUGUCUCUUUUUCACUAAAUUGAAUUCCAUGUUUCUACAAAGAAUAUAAAAUUUUAUCAAAAGAGAAUUUGCUUUGAUUUUGUGCCCACCCACACAAAUGCUCUUGGAGCUCACCUUUCAGCUUUGCUUUCAGAGAUGAGAAACCCCGCUCUUGUCAUUUAGAAUCACCUAUCUGAUAAAAACUUGAGUGGUGAAAAGCAAAAUUUCUGUCAGUAACAAUUAAUUUCCAGGCACUUGUUUCAGUCUGGUAUUUCAGCAGUUUGAUCAGAAAUUUUGGAGCGUACUUGCUGGAUGCUUACAGUGGUCUGCAGUUUUCAUAUCCUGCUUCUUAAGUUAAAGGUAGUAAUGUCAUAAUUGCAAUAAGUACAUCUUACAGAUGAGCAGAAAAAGGGGUUUCCACUCACGUACCUAAAAGGCACUGGGCCAAAAUUUGUGAGAACAAAACCUCUCUGUCUUGAUUAUGCUGAAGCUUGGAGUGAAACAUUAAAAGUUUUAGCUCUGUGCUCCAUUAGGAGUACGUGACCUAUUCCUUAUAGGUAUUAGCCACACCUUCACUGUCUGUAAAUUUAUUUUGUGCUCUAAGUUUCAAUCUAGCCAAAUAAUUUACUGUUCUUCUAUGACUCAGAAGAUAACAUGGGAAAAAAACCAAACCAAACAUAAAAAAAAAUGCUUAUGCAAGGCACAUUCCACCUCAGACUUAAUCUGAGCUGAAUUCAGCCUGGAAAAAUGAGAAGACUGCAGCAUCAAUUUAUUGCCAAUGCGUUUUACUCAUGUUAAGUCUUCAGUGUACCAUUUCUCUUUCUUUUCAUCUUGAGCAUCACAAUACCAGGAGGUGAUGCUGGUCUCCACUUUAUCCUCAGGUGGAAUUUUACCUGUUUGUCUCCUGCUCUGUAAACCUUUUCUCCUGUGUUUCUUUGCCUUUUCUCUUGGCAGCUGAGUGCCAUGGUCACUGGAAACGCAGCCCUGCAGAUGGGCAUUGGGUGAACCGUGCACUCAGUGUGGUUUGGUGUCUGAGGAUUUGCUCAUCUGCUGGUUUUGUCCUUGCCCAAUGUCAGCAUUGUUUCCACCUUCCUAAGAGUUUAUUUAGGUGUUGGCUGGAGUUUUCCUUGCUCUCCCUUGAUGAAUGUUCAAUUGCCAGCAGUGGGUGUAGCUGCCAGUGUUGACAGCUAGUCUUACUUGCAAAGGUGGACUGCUCCCUUAGGCACAAUUCCUUUGUUAAUGGUGUUUCCAAGCCAUAUUAAACUAUGCAACAGUCAUGAGAGCAAUUACUGUCUUAUAUUUUAAUCCUUUUUCUAAUUAGCAUUUGUUCUUAUGUAUGUUUUCAGAACAGUGCUAAGGGAUUAGCAUUUACCUGUACACUGAGCUCACUGCGAGCACAUGAAUUUUGUCUGUAUUCCACAGAAUGCAGAAAGACCUCUGAAUAAAAAACAACUGGAUUUUGAACUUUAUUGCCUCCAUACAGGAAGACACAAAGUACUGAGAAUGGAGCAUGCAGGAAAAAACUGCAGGUGUCACUUCCAUUACACCCAUGGUUUUACUGGAGCCAGAGGCUGGGCCUGUGUUUGAGGAUUAAGUCGCCUGUGCUGAGCUUUGUGCUGCUGUGACUGCAGCAGGACCCAAACAAGGCCCUUUCAAAGUGCCAGGGCUGUAUUUGCAGUGUGCCUGUAAGUUUGGAGGAACGUGAAGCAGUGUGUUCAAAGCUUAGCUUUGAAACUCCUUUCUUAAGCAAAAGCCUAUGCUCAGCUUUAAUUAUUGAGCUCUUAGGUCUCCUCCCUGAUAUUCUCUCCUACCAGAGAGACCAGACUGGUUUCCUUGAGAACUUUCCAUGGCAUGUUUAUUGCUUAAGUCUGACUAACAGUAGCAUAGCUACAGUGCAGUACAGUCUGUUUUCACUUUCAGUAGCCCAGGUUUUGGUUGUUUUCUUGGGUUUUUUUUUUAACUUUCUCCAUAUUCCUCAUGUGGCUGCUUAAGAAAAUGACAUUUCUCUCUUCAGCAUGCUCAGAGGAAAUGUGAAUUCAGAUGGCAGAAUCUUUGUGUUGAUACAGGCUGGGAGCUGAACAAAUAUCUUGAGACCUGGAUCACUUUUGAUGCUUUGGCUCAUGCAGCAAAGGGCUGCAGCUCUCAUCUGUCUGCAUGAUGGCGAGUUCUGCAGAGGGAACAUGUUCCAGACAGAAAAAAAUAACUGAGAACUUCUUCAUCCUGGAAAUGACUGUGCCACUGCUGUGCUGAUCAAGAAAAAAGAUGUGGAAAAAAAUUCUUUCCUCACCUCCCCUACCUCUUUGGUAGUGAAAUUAAAUUUAUUUCAGAGAAGGAAUUUUUUAUUUAAAUCUGUAUCUUUAAGAAACAAGUCAAACUUGUUAGCCAUGUGAUUUAGUUUACUCAUCUGUAAAACUGACAACAUGUUUCAUCCUUGGCUGAAGGGAAGACAUUUAUAAUAUAAGUGAAGAAAAAAAACUUUGUUGAAAGAACGAUUGUUUCUGAGAAGCUGGUUAUUAAAUAUAAUCUGUUUUAAGUAAAAUCCUUGGUGUGGCAGAAGGCUUUGUUGCACUGACUAACGCAUUUUUAUGGACAUUCCAACUUUGAAGCCUCCUAUGAAGUUACUGGCCUUGAGCCUAUGCUACAGGAAUAUUGUGUUGCUUGUGUUAGUGCUGUCAAAGACAGGUGGUGAUUUUGUUUUUACUGAUUGUGUUGGACUGUAAUGGCAGCAUUUGGUAGCCCAGUGGGACUUUACCAUUUAUGCCAGGAUAAGCUUUUCCCCCCUGAGAUCUUUUGUCCGUCCUAGUGAAGUUAGAGAAUUUGUGACUGUGUGGUACAGUUGAGCCUGUCUCUGUGGAUGCCAAGGGUGAGCUUAGUGGGUGAUUUAGCACCAGAGCCAGGCUGACAUCAUGCCUGUGUUAUGGAAACAAUGAGGUCGUUGGAAUGAUUUGCUAAUUUGGCUGAUGCCUCUGUUGUAGGUGUCUGUAUUUGUUGCUGUAUGGAACACAGCCCCAGAUUGUGCCCUGUUCCUGAGCGAGGACAUGAACCACUCUGCAGGUUUUUUCAGAUGCCUUUUCUGUGAUUCUUUUGAUUGCACUGCACUUGUGAGCACUAAGUGAUAUUUCUAAUAGAGAAAACUUGUCCAAGUCAAAAUAAAUUCCAUGAGAAAGGGUGGGCUCAGUAUUUGACCUGUUUAUUAAGAAGACCUAGCUUGGUCUUGAAUUAUCAUUAAAUCCAUCACACAGUCUGCACAUUUUCCAUCUCCAUUCUCUAUGCUAAAAUCACCAUAGAAUGGUAUUUUGUCCUGCCUUGAUAUUGUAGACAAGGCAGUGCAGGUAGAUGAUGAAGUGGGUGGGGGAUAUUUAUUGCAACAGGAGCAUUUGAAAGAUGUGAAAAGGGUAAGUAAAAUGGGAAAGGUUAUUUUUGGCUGAGAAAGGAAACUCCUUGGGCCACAUCUUCCUGUAGUAUUGUCAAGACAAAUGCUUGCUAUUUUGUUUUGUCAUUUUAUUUUCCAGGAGUAGUUCUGCUGGCUGCUGCCAUGCUCCACAGGAGGAACUCAAAGCUCUGGCUAGGAUUUUUUUGCUGGUGUGUUGCCUUCCUGGUGGUGUUGACUCCUUUCCUGGGAAUGUAGCAUGUUUUUCCCCUGCAGAUAUUUUGUGACUUGAAUGAAUCACUUAAUUUCACUGUCCUUCAGAGGCAUAAUUAGUAACUCACAUUUACUUUUGCCUGUUCAAUGCUUAUAAAAUGCUCAGUUUUAUUCCUGGAAUGUUCUCUCAUGUGAGGAUAAGGCUAUUUUCUGAAGAAAUUUGCAAGUAAAAUGCUCUUGACCAGUAGUCUUUAAACGUUGUGUUUGCUGUGGAAGGUGUCAUUUUCUUCUUUAUAAUUGUAAAUGCUUCAGCACCAUUGAAAAUCUAAUUAACCUUAUAAAAGGAAGAGCACACUGAUGUUUUCAGGGAGAAUGAAGAAUGUAGGACAGAGUUAAGCUGAGAAAGUAAAGGAUAAUAUUCAGUUGCAGCCAUGGUAAUGAUCACAGGGAUACUCCUGUUUCAGAAGCUCUGACAACAAACACAGUCCCUGUGAAUAAAUUGUUUUUAUUCUACAAGCAGCUCAUUUCUCUCUGAAACUGCACCGAGCCAGCCCCUUGAGGCAGCGUUAGGAUAUUACAGUUCAGAGAAGCUGGUUUUCAGGCAAAAUUUGAAAUCUAGGGCCUCACAAUGUACUUAAGCAUUCUGAUGGAAACACUGUUAGCCUUACAUUGUGGCUGUGUUUUUAAUUCCCUCAGAGUUUUAGCUGGCUGCCUUCAGCUGACAGGACCCAAGGGAAUGGCUUGAAGCUGUGUCAGGAGAGGGUUAGGUUGGAUAAUAGGGAAAGGUUCUUCACCCAGAGGGUGUCUGGGCACUGAACAAGCUCCCCAUGGAAGUGGCCACAGCACCAAGCCUGACAGAGUUCAAGAGGCAUUUGGACAAUGCUCUAGGUGGGAAUGCUAGGGUGUCCUGUUCAGGGCCAGGAGUUGGACUUGGAUGAUCCUUGUGGGUCCCUUUCAACUCAGGAUAUUCUGUGAUUCUUUCAACAUUCACCUUAUUUUGCUAUAACAGUCCUUUUGCUGUGUGACAGUGGGAUACAACAUCCUUGCAGAGCUGGUAAAUAUUGGAGUGUGAAGGAGCUGAUUGAGCGGUCGGAGAUGCAGCAGAGACAGCAGAGUAGGUUAGGGGCAGUAUUUUCCCCUGUACUGAUAAGGGGAAGUUGAUUUCUAGUGUGCAUUUUUACAUUUGUACUUUAUAUGUGUAUGUAUAUACAUAUAAAUAUAUACAGUUCUUGAAAUAGGAAGGACCUUUCCCCAGCACGAAAUUCCAAACCUGGCCUGUGAAAUUAAUAUAGCUGAAAUACUUUAUUGAGAUUUAAGAAUGCCAAGCCUGGAUAAAAUGCAGACUUUGAGGAGCUUUUAAAGUGUGCCAAGGAAGAUGGAUAUAAACAUGUUGAAUCAUGUUGUUUUGGUGCUUUUUUUGUUGAUUAUGCAGAAUUCUACAGUCAUUGCAUCCUGGUGGAGAAUGCAAGUAUUCCUGUUACACUGCUAGCACAUAGAAAAAUUCCUGGAGGAAUGCUACAGGUUGCUGCUCUGCAUCUGCUCAGAAAAUCAACUGUGCCCAAAGCCAUCAAUUUCCCCCAGGAGUUCAAGGCACAGGAAAACUACCUGGAACUUGUAUGUUGCAAAAAGCCAACAACUGGAAGGAACUGCUUGGCCUACAGGAAAUAGCUAGAGAGGGGAUAACAGGACACACAGACAAGACAAACCUCCUCCUCAGAGUCGAGGGGAUCAUCCUCAAUACUGAAAGGUAAUUGCUGACAAGCACCAUUGUAAAACAGAAGAUGUGUUAGAUGAAGGAAGUGCUACAAAUGGAAAGCCUGAGCAUGGAAGCAGCUACUCUCACGCUGAAUUCAGCACACUCCCAGUGAGCUCCACAUGCCGUUUACACUAAAUGCCAGCUCCAGCACCUCCAGCCUUUGCUCACUUGAUUACAAACACAAUGUAUGGAGCACUUGCCCAUAAGGAUCUGCACCAUGCUCAGUUUUUCAAAUAUGCCCACAUUCCUGGAAAGCAGCAUAGUGUUUAAGAAGUUGCUUAUACCAAUUAUGUAAUGCUAGUUGUGUAACCAUUUGCUCUAAUUCCUGUAGAAUAUCCAACUAAGGUGGGAGAAACUAAGGCCAAAUCCGAGGAGAAAGGCUGUCAGGGCCAGUGCUGGUGUUGCUGUUUCCAACUCCAAUGUGGUCCCUGGCACCCAGUCCUCAACUCUGCACUGCAAAAGGGCACCUCACUGGGAGCUACUUUCAGGAGGCAGUGCAGUUUUCCAUCUAUAAAGAAAUACCAUAUAUUUUUUACUCAUUGAAAACAUACUUUGUGAGGAAAUACCUUUAAAAUUAAUUUGUCAACAGAUCUCAUUGAUUACUCUGCCUUUUGCUAGUGAUACUAGAUAACACUAAGACUAGUAGAGAGAUGAUAAAAACAACGAAAAAACUACUUCCUUGUUUUUUCACAAUCUACUUUUCCAUUCUUUGUGCUUAGUGCCACACUUAAGCAAUAAACAUGAAGAAAGGUGCUACAUAACCACAGAAGUAAUUUAAGGGUGGAGAAGCAGUAACAGUCAGAAGCCAAACACAGCCAUUUACCCUGCAAUUAUUAGCCAUUUACCCUGCAAUUAUGGGCUCUGUUGCCACAAUGACAGUGAAGACGUUGACAAGCUUUACAUACCAGCUCCUCAUCUCUGCCUUGGUUCUUACUUGCUGACUCGGUGUCCAUGGGGGUGUCGUUGUGGUCCCCCUCGACGCUCUGCUUCUCGAUGAUGGACGCGCUGGCCACGCUGAAGAGCCCGUGGAUGUUGACGCGCACUUUCACCUUCACCUUGGAGUUGUCGCCGUCGUGCUGGGGACCCACGUUCUGAAUAGUGAAACGCCCUUGGAAACAACAGAGGUGGCUUUAAUUGUUGUCCCAAAAUGCACAGAAAGAGGGGAGAAAAACCCCAAACACAUUCCUUUAAGGGUCUUAAUUUAAACAGCAAUUUCACGUAGCUGAAACUAUUUGGAAACUUAAUAUUCAGCUGACAAUCCUACAAUGUAAGCUGCAGGUAGAUAAACUAAAAGCUGGUUCCCCGAUUAUUACAGGUUCACUGGUAAUUAGUAAGAUGGUUUUGCUUUAUCUGUAUUUCAUAAAAAAAAAAGGUAGUACUUUACUAGGUGUUCUACUUCUCUGUUGCCUUCUGUAACCACCACACUAGAGAAACUACUCUGAUUCA